AGACACUAGGUGGAAGCCUUGGGCUGCGGUUCCUUCGCAGCUGCUGACGGCAGGAAGAAGAGGACUUGUGCUUUCAGAAAGGAGAUAUUUUUCUUUUCUUCUUGCUUCCACAUACUAGAAAGGGAACUCCAAGCUCUCCAGGUGCACAGUGGAGUGAACGGAGGAAUGGAGGAGAAGUGUCAGUCUCAUCCCGGGUCCUCCCUGCAACAGGAUCUUUGCAAUGACUUCAAGAGCUCCAUGGCUGUUCUGCAGACAGAUGCACAAUUGUGAAACAUCAAUAUGGACUGCAAAUCUCUACUGUCAGUCAGCUCCUCUUCCCCUCUGCAUAACAUAAUCUCUAUCUCCACAAUGCCUGCACAGAUACACACUUGCAAAGAUGUUUUUCUGGCGAUAGUGUGCAUAGCAAACAUUCCCUUACUUGUUCUCAUCUCUAGCAACAUUAUAUGGAGUUUCAGUUCACAGUUCACUGUGUUCGCCCUCCUACUACUGAAAUGCAACCAACUCUGAGCUGCGGUUAUUAAACAUCACACGAGCAACACCCCAAAGCAGAUUGUGAAAAGCAAAGGAAUUUAGAGAAAAGUGACAAAUUGAGUGAGAUCUGCAAAGGUUGUCUGGAAAGUGAUAACAAAGGAUCAUAGGGAAUGAGUUAAUCGUGAUGCAGAAUAGCCAUUACCAGGACAUGCAGGUGAUACCAGCAUGAGAGGGUGAGUUUUUGAGGGUGGCACAAAGAGAUGCCACUAGGAGCAACCGGGUUUCAGCCAGGGAGACAAGCAGGUCAGCUUUCCUAACCACUGAGUUUUGUCAGACUGCUAGAGUCCCAAGGAAAGGGCUGCAGGCAUCAUUGCUUGAGGGUUUUAAAACUGGUCCUAGUUUCAAGACAGGAUAAGGCACUAUCAGGACAGAUGAAUAAAACAAGGUAGAGCAAGUAGCCGUACCUAUCCCCCCUUUGUAUGAGUCUGAGAAAACAGCUGGGAGAAAGAUGGCAAGGUCUUAAGAAAUCACACGUAUAGAGUUAGGAAACUGUGAGAACUGGCUUGACAGUAGCUGUGACAUGGCCAGGGAAGAGCUUCCAAAGACAGUACUCUUCUUUGACAACAUGAUGACCUUAGAGUGGGAAGAUGUGCAAUGAAUCAGAGGAAAGAGAAAUGUGUGUGAAUGUAUGUAGCUGUUUAUGUGUGCAUGUAGCACAACAGGAAUUUCAUUCAGAUAGAAUAAAACAUUGUAGGUGUCUGUA